rnacentral:rRNA from 1 species
UUACGGAAGGCAGCAGUGGGGAAUAUUGCGCAAUGGGGGAAACCCUGACGCAGCAACGCCGCGUGAAGGAUGAAGGUUUUCGGAUUGUAAACUUCUUUGAUGAGGGACGAAACAAAUGACGGUACCUCAAAAACAAGCCACGGCUAACUACGUGCCAGCAGCCGCGGUAAUACGUAGGUGGCGAGCGUUGUCCGGAAUUACUGGGUGUAAAGGGCGUGUAGGCGGGGAGACAAGUCAGAUGUGAAAUACCGAGGCUUAACUUCGGGGCUGCAUCUGAAACUGUUUUUCUUGAGUGUCGGAGAGGAAAGUGGAAUUCCCAGUGUAGCGGUGAAAUGCGUAGAUAUUGGGAGGAACACCAGUGGCGAAGGCGACUUUCUGGACGACAACUGACGCUGAGGCGCGAAAGCGUGGGGAGCAAACAGGAUUAGAUACCCUGGUAGA